AGGAUUCCCCUAGUAACUGCGAGUGAAGCGGGAAAAGCUCAAAUUUAAAAUCUGGCAGUCUUUGGCUGUCCGAGUUGUAAUCUAGAGAAGUAAUGCCCGUGCUGGACCGUGUAUAAGUCUCCUGGGAUGGGGCGUCAUAGAGGGUGAGAAUCCCGUCUUUGACACGGAUUACCAGUGCAUUGUGGUAUGCUCUCAAAGAGUCGAGUUGUUUGGGAAUGCAGCUCAAAAUGGGUGGUAAAUUCCAUCUAAAGCUAAAUAUUGGCGAGAGACCGAUAGCGAACAAGUACCGUGAGGGAAAGAUGAAAAGAACUUUGGAAAGAGAGUUAAACAGUACGUGAAAUUGCUGAAAGGGAAACGCUUGAAGUCAGUCGCGUUGGCCAGGGAUCAGCCUUGCUUUUGCAUGGUGUACUUUCUGGUUGACGGGUCAGCAUCAAUUUUGACCACUGGAAAAGGCUCAAGGGAAUGUGGCAGCUUCGGCUGUGUUAUAGCCCUUGUUCACAUACAGUGGUUGGGAUUGAGGAACUCAGCACGCCGCAAGGCCGGGUUUCGACCACGUUCGUGCUUAGGAUGCUGGCAUAAUGGCUUUAAGCGACCCGUCUUGAAACACGGACCAAGGAGUCUAACAUGCCUGCGAGUAUUUGGGUGGAAAACCCAAGUGCGCAAUGAAAGUGAAAGUUGAGAUCCCUGUCGUGGGGAGCAUCGACGCCCGGACCAGAACUUUUGGGACGGAUCCGCGGUGGAGCAUGUAUGUUGGGACCCGAAAGAUGGUGAACUAUGCCUGAAUAGGGUGAAGCCAGAGGAAACUCUGGUGGAGGCUCGUAGCGAUUCUGACGUGCAAAUCGAUCGUCAAAUUUGGGUAUAGGGGCGAAA
rnacentral:rRNA from 1 species